rnacentral:rRNA from 1 species
CGAACGCUGGCGGCGUGCUUAACACAUGCAAGUCGAGCGAUGAAGCUACUUCGGUAGUGAAUUAGCGGCGAACGGGUGAGGAACACGUGAGGAAUCUGCCUUCAACACUGGGAUAACUCCGGGAAACCGGGGCUAAUACCGGAUACGAGCCUUGAUCGCAUGAUCGAGGCUGGAAAGUUUUUCGGUUGAAGAUGACCUCGCGGCCUAUCAGCUUGUUGGUGAGGUAAUGGCUCACCAAGGCGACGACGGGUAGCCGGCCUGAGAGGGCGACCGGCCACACUGGGACUGAGACACGGCCCAGACUCCUACGGGAGGCAGCAGUGGGGAAUAUUGGGCAAUGGAGGAAACUCUGACCCAGCGACGUCGCGUGCGGGAUGAAGGCCUUCGGUUGUAAACCGCUUUCAGUAGGAAGAAGCGAAAGUGACGGUACCUGCAGAAGAAGCACCGGCUAACUAUGUGCCAGCAGCCGCGGUAAUUCGUAGAGUCGGCGACGGGAGGGACGGA